rnacentral:tRNA from 1 species
AGUGCACGCAGGCCGGUGAGCUUGUGGGCUGCCGGUGUGCGGGGGUCUCGCGUGAUUGCGGGCCGAGGUUCGGUCCCUCGUUGCAGUG